rnacentral:lncRNA from 1 species
GUCAGCAGCAUGCUGCAGCACAUGGCAGAUACCUGAGUGCGCUCAUCCCUCUGCUUCUCUACAGUGAUGCAACCACAGAGCGGUGCAGGUGACUUCUGCUAAGGUGUAAUCAGCCCCAGAAAACCAGGGAUUCUUAGCAACUGGCCUCACUGGCCUUACCCAUGCAACUUGCCAACAUCGGUGAGAAGACCCCAUGGACAACAAAAACCCAAACUGAAAAGGUUAAUACACAGAGCACACAUGCAUUCCAAGCCUGCAGCCCGAUCUUUGCCUAAAGCACAUUGCCUUCUCCAUCAAACCAAGACUUCAGAGCUCCACUCAGCUGCAUAUACACAGUUUCAGAUGUGCGGCAGAAUCAGCAACCAGAUGAGCAAGUUGUGCUUGUGUGCCUUGCGAGUGAACCCAU